rnacentral:rRNA from 1 species
GCCUGCGUGAAGUCGGAAUCGCUAGUAAUCGCGGAUCAGCAUGCCGCGGUGAAUACGUUCCCGGGCCUUGUACACACCGCCCGUCACACCAUGAGAGUCGGGAACACCCGAAGUCCGUAGCCUAACCGCAAGGAGGGCGCGGCCGAAGGUGGGUUCGAUAAUUGGGGUGAAGUCGUAACAAGGUAAC